ACGGAAGGCAGCAGUGGGGGAUAUUGCACAAUGGGGGAAACCCUGAUGCAGCGACGCCGCGUGAGUGAAGAAGUAUUUCGGUAUGUAAAGCUCUAUCAGCAGGGAAGAAAAUGACGGUACCUGACUAAGAAGCUCCGGCUAAAUACGUGCCAGCAGCCGCGGUAAUACGUAUGGAGCAAGCGUUAUCCGGAUUUACUGGGUGUAAGGGGAGCGUAGACGGCGAGGCAAGUCUGAUGUGAAAGCCAUGGGCUCAACCCAUGAACUGCAUUGGAAACUGUCUUGCUUGAGUGUCGGAGAGGUAAGCGGAAUUCCUAGUGUAGCGGUGAAAUGCGUAGAUAUUAGGAGGAACACCAGUGGCGAAGGCGGCUUACUGGACGAUAACUGACGUUGAGGCUCGAAAGCGUGGGGAGCAAACAGGAUUAGAUACCCUGGUA
rnacentral:rRNA from 1 species